GCUGUGCACCAUGAGACUGAGAGAUCGUGAUUAAGAACCAAGUUGACUGAAACUAGACGGACUCGAUCAGAUAAUCAUAAAUGCAGCGAUGAGCCUCAGAGUCUGGUAUGCAGGAAUGUGCCCCCCCUCGGCGGCUCCGAGGAGGAGGAAGAGGAAGAGGAGGGGGUUUUGCGUGUUCCCGUCGUUUCUCCAUCCAGACUGAUUCACAUUAUCUCCAACUGCACAUGAGCGAAGGCCUGGAAACAGCACAGAGACUUUUGUUUUUUUACCCGAUGUGUUUACUCGUGCUUCUUGUGUAACUUUGCCGUGUUGUCCCCGCGUCUGAAGUGGACUCGCUGGUGCGUGUCCAGCAGGGCCUUGUGAGCACGUCUCUCUCUCUGUAGCUGCUGUCGCUCUGUCAGCCCUGCACUGCUCGUCCGGAGACGUGCAUCCUCUCACCAGUGCAUCACCGCUCUAACUGACACUUUAGCUUGUUUCACCGCGAAGAAGGAAGUUGAGAUGUCCCUCUUUGUCCCCGCCCACUCCUGACACUGUUUACUCAGGUGUAAUUUAUUCAGACUGAAUUAGACCUUUGCUGCGGCCGGCAUGUGCAGAGGGAGAGGAGACGUUUGGGGAAGUGUAUGAUUUUGUGAACAGAAACGAUCUUCCUGUCUGUGUUUUUAGAAGUUGGACUUGGGCUUCCCUCAAUCUUGCUGAGCUAAAUUUGUAUCCUCUUCCUAACUGAAAAUACAAGCUCGCAAAAAAAGGAAGAAAAAAGAGGGAACGUGGCCCAUCACGACUUGAAGGAGACACUCGUCUGUGUCGGCUUUCAGAUGAUGAUUUCUGUCUGUUCUUAUCUGUCUCAGGGUCAUGUGUACUUGCUGAAGGAAGGGUUACAUCUUUUGUUAUCGCUCGUCUGAAAACAGAUUUCAUUCUAGUGAAUGUACUUUUUUUUUUGUGAUACAAACUCUUCUUUAUGUCGUUUUGCCAAGUGGAAAAUGUCUGAUUGUGCUUAAAAGCGUCGGUCAUAUCUGAAACAGAAAUGUUGCCAAAACCUGAAUAUCUAACUUUAGUGUUGUUAUGGAUUUAAAUAACAAAACUUAGUGUGAUAGCCUUGUAGCUGCAAUAGUGAUUUUUUCUUUCCGUGUCUACAGAAGUCUUUGGUGUGUAUAGUUUUGUACAUUUGCCUCGUAAUUCAUUUGUAGAAGGUUUUAAAUUUGCACAACUCUCUUAAUUGUCUUAAUUUUGUAUCUUUUGUCUUAACCCGGUCGGGUAGUGUGAGUAAUCGAAGCCUUUUUGUAGCAAAUCGUCAAAAAUAUGUUAAUUUGCUCUCUGUGCAAGUCUCCGAUGUAUGGCAGUAUACUCUAGAUAUACUGAUAUAUUAAGCUAUUACUGAAACAGUCUGUUACUACUUGUUCUAUAGUUUGUUACUUUUCAAUAAAUGUCAUCUUGUUGGA
ensembl:lncRNA